AGCAGCCGCGGUAAUUCCAGCUCCAAUAGCGUAUAUUAAAGUUGUUGCAGUUAAAAGCUCGUAGUUGAACUUCAGGCCUGUCCAGAUGGUCCGCCUUAAUUGGUGUGUACUGUCCUUGGGUGGGUCCUACCUUCUGGCGAAGCGGCAUGGCCUUAGUUGGUUGUGUCGGGGAACCAGGACUUUUACUGUGAAAAAUUAGAGUGUUCAAAGCAGGCAUAUAUGCUCGAAUACAUUAGCAUGGAAUAAUGGAAUAGGACGAUGGUUCUAUUUUGUUGGUUCUAGGACCGUUGUAAUGAUUAAUAGGGAUAGUUGGGGGCAUUAGUAUUCAAUUGUCAGAGGUGAAAUUCUUGGAUUUAUUGAAGACUAACUACUGCGAAAGCAUUUGCCAAGGAUGUUUUCAUUAAUCAAGAACGAAAGUUAGGGGAUCGAAGACGAUCAGAUACCGUCGUAGUCUUAACCAUAAACUAUGCCGACUAGGAAUCGGGCGAUGUUGACAAAAUGACUCGCUC
rnacentral:rRNA from 1 species